UAUUACUUUGUAUAAAUAAAGGGGGAAAAGUUUGAGGUAGUGGGACUCUUCGGGACUGGACUCUCCCUCUGGAUGCAUCUUGUGUUCCUCACUGGCAGACGGGCUGCCGCUGUGCCACUCUAGAGCCACGCUCAGCUUCGAUGCUGAUAAUCAGUCUGAAGAAGAAGCAUCAGUGUUUAAAACAUUCUCCUCACACAAGUGGAAUGCCAAGUCUCAGAGGCAACACAAAGAUAUUGGGUUUUUUUUCUUCCCAAACAAUUCACAAUGUCUAAAUGCUGCCAGGCUGUGAACAAAGUACAUGGGUUCUAUAGGCAAAUUUCUCCUUUCACAUCUUCCAUGGCAGUACUUGAAUACCCAAAUUUUCAAAGUGCAUAUGCCCAGCACUAAAUGUGUGUACAAAAGUCAGGGUUGUGCAAAGGUAUGUGUGCAUACAAAUACCUGACUUGCAUGUUCUAAGCUGAUGCUGGAUGCAUGCAAGACAGCCAUAAGCAAGUGCACCCCCACUUUAUCAAUUUCAGGCUAUAUUCUCAAAACUGUUCUUCCUACUUAUAUUGUCCAUUGGCACCAGUGCAAAUGCUGUACAGGCAGGGAAAUAGAAUAUCUAAGUUGAUCACAGCCCUGCAAGUAUGACAGGAGAAUUUUGCUGUAUAAUAUUUUGAUUUAGUGAGACAACUAUAUUCAGGUUGUGUGUGUGUUUAAAAUAAAAGUUUGCAUGAAAAAAGUAAUUCUUAAUUUGAAUGUGGUCAGUUUCCAAAAUGCCAUAUUCAGGUUUUUUUUUUCUUUGUUAAAAUCCUCCAAAAAGCAUGAGCAAAUUCCAAAUAGUGAGUUCCCAGCACCGAUGGAGAAAAGCAGAUUUGGUAUUGACAUGAAAUUAAUUAUUGAUGGGUGUUCAUUUGCGGUAUUUGUAGAUAGCAGUUCUGGAGUAUUUCUUUGCUAGCUAAAUGGCAGAAUUUUAGUGCAAUGUCACUACUCUGAAUACUGAACAAUGAAUGUCAUUGUUUUUUGGCAAAUGAUUUGACAGGACUAAUCUGAUUACAAAAGAAAAUACAUUACACAUACAAUGUGUAAAUUGAAUGACUGCUUAUAGAUCUCUUAACUUCAGUAUUGUGCUUCUUAUCUGUAGUUUAUCAAAUUUGGUGUGGUUUUUUCCCCUGGGUUAAUGUAAUAAAACUUCUUAAAACCAAACAAUUCUCAAGAAUGGUACCACUGAGAUUUGCCAUCAUGGCCUGUGGUUGUUUUUAGUUUUAAAAAUAUCUUUUCUUUUUAAAAUUGCCUGUAAAUAAAUUGUUCCCAUACAUAUACCUUCAGGACUAAAUACAUACUCAAGGAUACUUCACAUUCUUCAAGUAUUGCAAAUUUACUACUAACAUAGAUUAAUGGACAUCAUAAAAUUAUGACUAAGUACUGUAGUUUAAAAAGCCACGAUAGCUUCAACUGUUAUAGGACCCAUUUCAGGAAAGCAUUUAAGCAUUGCAUUACAGUCAAUGGGACUUAAACAUGUGCUUAAGUGUCUUGCUGAGUAGAGAGGUGCUUACAUACAGGUCUUAGAAGCCUGAUCCAGAGCCUACCGAAAUCAAUGGGAGUCUUUCCAUUUACCUCACUGAGCUUUGGAUCAUAUGUCUUAAAGCGCUUUUGUGACACCAAUGGACCCCAGUCAAACGGAUUGAACUUAGGACCUCUGAAGUUUAGUGUAUGUGCCUCUAAUGCAUGUGCUAAAAGCCACGUGGCUCUUAGCGAAGGCUGUAGCAGCCACAUCAGUCUCUAGAUGCCACAAAAGAGGGACAGAGCACCAAGCAGGCAAGGGUUACACUUUGCUGAAUUGAGUUGAUAAGGAAGUCUUUCUGAAUUGACUCAAUCCUUGCUGAAGUUAUGGACACUAUCAUAAUACUGCUAAUAAUAAUAAUAAAGAGUAAAUACCUAAGGGCAGUCAGAGGAAUAUUCUUAACAGAUCUUCACUUGGAGAGCUCAAAUUGUGAUAUAGUGCAUCACUCUAUGAUUCGCCAUUAUACAAAGAUGUAACCAUGUGGGGGCGUCUGUUGCCAUUCACCAAUCGGUCUGCUAUAAGAAAUUACAAAAUUGCAUUUCACUACAGGCAUUGAAGUGACAGCAGGCUGUCUCUUAACCCAGUUAGCAAAUUGUAUUCUAUUCUGAUUUCAGCGCAAAGUGAAAUCAUAAUACACACUGAAACACUGUUCAUCAGGGGUUCUCAAACUGUGGCCCACAGACUAGUUAUGAUCUUGGAAAUAUUUGCUGGUGAUUGAUGGAGAGCUGACUGAUCACAUAGUGUUUUCCUUCUUUCUAUCUGCUAAAUUACAUUAAAAGACUCUUUACAAUACUUUAAGGAUAAAAUUUUCAAAAGUGACAGGCAGUUGGGGACAGUUUAUUACAGAUAUUUAGGCUUCUAAAGAUACAGAUAGACACCUAAUCCUAUUCUUAAAAGAGUGUAGACACCUAACUCCCCUCGACAUCCAUGUUAGGUACCUGAGUGAUAUAAAAAUCCUAGGCACCUAACAACCUUUAAAAAUCUGGCCCUUAGGAACAUAAGCCCCAUUGACAUGAAAAAUAGCGUAGCCUAAGUUGUAUUUACAAAAACAACUUGGGGUAAUGUUUUCAAAAGCACCCAAGCCUCAUCAAUAAGACUGAAGUAGGGAGAAGCAGAUCUGUGAGAUUGUCUUAUAGAUGCCUCCCUUCCAAUUGACACUCUCCAUUAAAGAGGUGGCCCAUGCUAUGAAAGUUGGAGAACCCCUCCUGUAUAUAAAAUACAUGAUCACAGGAUAAAUUAAAAAUCCAUGCAGCCCCCAUUAACUUGUCAGUUAUUUCCAUGAGUUACACAGUAAAUGACUGCAUGGCACACGAGGAGUAAAUUGAAAUAAAGCCCCAAAUGGUUUGUGUAAAUGAAGCUGAAAUUGGUUCAGGGUUCACUGAGCCCUUCAAGCUAAAUCUUGAAACCCUUCAGUCUAGUUUCAAUCAUAUGGGGCUUUGACAGAGUGAGUUUUGGUUCUGAAGACUCUUCUAAGGUUUCUGUUUUCAGAGCUAGCCCUAAUUUCUACACCUCAAAUCUAUUUAGAUUUAAAUUGGGGUAAGGGUAGAUGCACAGAUACUUUUAAAAAUUUCCCAUGCAACAGGAAGCACAUUUACCUGAGCAUUUUAAUGAUGAUGCACCUCCACACUGUAGUUCAAACUUGCAUUACCAGUUGCCAACCAGUUUGCCAGUUUAACGGCUGCAAAUGUCCUUUGAGCAUCCACCAUCAUCCCAACAAAGGAACUGUGUUUGCUACAGGUUAACUCCUGCUCUCCUCAGUGCUCUGUGUUGUAUGUAAAUGCAAGUUAAAAUUAAUGUAAGCUACAAGUUAAUGUAAGCUACAAAGAAAGCGACAUUCCACAACAUACAUUAAUACUCUGAUUCAAAGCAGAGCAAUCAAGCACUUGCUGAUUUUUAAGAACCUAUUUGAAUUCCAAUGACUUCAAUGGGACCUAACUGUGUGCUUAAGUGCUUUGCUGAAUCAGGGCCUAAAGAAGCAAACUGAUGAUUCAAGUUAGCAAUACAUUCCAAUCAUAAAAAUUAUUAUUAUAGGCAAAAAUUGAUCAUGCAGUAUAUCAUCCAGUGUCUUCAAAACCCAAAUUUAACCCACAGUGCACCAUUGUCAACAGUUGGAUGGUCUCACUAGUUUAAUUCACUCAGUAGAAUCUUUAUGAAACUUUGUAUGAAAUGUGUGAUUAUGAGAGAGAUGUCAGGUUAUAACAAAAGAGAGUAUUUAACUCCAGUGAACAGAAUACAGGAAACAACUUACCCAUCCAUAUUUCAAGCUUCUUGAAGCAGAAGAGAAAACAAUCCUAUCAGUUAAUAAAGAACAAAUCCAAAAGUAGGAACAAUCCUGUAAACAAACAGCACAUUACUGUACCUAAACCAAGAACUCUGCCAUUGCAGGGCCAUGGGGAGGGGGUGUAUUGAGAAGAAAAUAAGAAGAGACUGAAUAGACUCAGUCUUUGCUUAUGACUUACCAUUAAGUGGAGGGAAUCAAUCCAGCGCACAUUUGGCCAGUCAGGGUCCCUCUAAGAUCCCCGAGAGCAAUCAGCCUGACAUCAGGCCAUAAUUGGCAUUUUGGGCAUUAGCCUAUCAUGCCAUCAGGAGUCCUUCCCAGGUAUAGUCCUAGCAGGACUGUCCCUGUUGAUUACAAUGGGACCUCAGAGGCUGGUCCAAAGUAAUUUAUGGCUCACACAAUUGUAUUAAUGGCAUGGAUAUUAAAAGUAUCAACUUCUAGACAAGAAAAUAUUUAACUGGCUUGAAAUUAGGAGGUACCUAUUUUUCAAUCAGUACAGUUACUUAAUGGAAAUCUGAAAUCAUUCCAAGAGAAAGACAAUGGAAAUGUAAUAAAUAACUAUGUAUUUUUUAAAAGGAGAAAAAUUAAAUGAUCUAUAGAAGGCAUGGAGUAGUACACAGAUUUUCUGUGAGAUACUGGAUUUUGAUCAAUUUUUAACACUGUAUUCCUUUGAAGGAAAACACAAUAAGAAAAUAUUUCGCUUAUAGAUGAUUUUCAUUGCAGCCACCAAAUGUUAAUCCUACUGAAAAGUAAAUCAUUAUAAUUCUAUUACGCUUUUCAUGAUACAUUCCAGGUACAGUUUGCAAGCCAGUAGGGAAUGCAAAGUAAUAAAUCUCAUACCUAGAAUGGAGUAGUUUCCAAUGAAGCUUUAAAAAACAAAGACAAAACAAAAAGCAGAUAAUCUCUUCAAAUUCUCCCAUGCUGCCAAGUAAAACACCAGAAAAUGUUUGCAUUGUCCUGUUGAAACUCUCUCCAAAAUAUUCAGCAUGACAAAAAUUAAUAAUGGUUUCUGUUUUAUUCUUAUGGGGCUCACAUGCUGCCCCAUUGAAAUCAAAUGUGAAACUCAGACGGAAUUCAGUGAGGGUAGGAUUGGGCCCUUGUCAAGGCUUGGUCAAGCAAUGUUAACAUAAAGAAGGUCUAAAUUCACUGUUGAUAUUAUUCACAAUGAAUAGGCCCACCAGAUCAAGCUCUCUCAUACUGAAUUCUUGUAGCAUCUUAUAUGCUUAGUGUGUGUUAAAAGAUAUGCCAGUGCUGCAGCUGUAAUUAAGGUUUGUUGAGUUACUAUUUCCAUUAUGAAGCCCACUUUUCAGGGUUUAAUAAGUCUGCAGCUCCAAAUCAGAUCAGGUUGAAACUUGACAUCCAAGUUAUCAAUACGGAGAUACAAUUUGUGCUCAUCUGUUUAUCAAAAAUAUAGUUUAUAUCCACUCAGCUGUUGCUGAAUUACAGAGGUCUAAAAAACAUGGGUGUAUUUUUUUUUCAGAUGGUCUUUCAGCAGUUUAGAACUUAAACAUACACUCAGGACGUAAUUCAACUCUAAUUUAGGUAAGUCUGGGCAACUCUCAGUGAAGUUAACAGGAGAGCCUCCUGUGUUUUGCUUGGACUAAUUUAGCCCUACGUGCUCCUUAUUUAUUGGCAGGAAUUCCUUUACAUGGAAUGCAUCCUUUGUGGUACUUUGCCAUUUUAAGCAAUUUUUGCAUGUUUGCUUCAAACACUCACCUGCUAAUUCUUAGAGUAAGUAGAAUCCAGCAGAAUGAGUCAUAGCAUAGGCAGAGGUUAAGAGUUUGAUCCUUCUAGCAUUGUAGUCAAUGCCCUUUAAUUCUGUGAUAUCCUUUUUGAGAUGGGAAUGACCAGAGCCAUAUAGGGUGUAACAUUGCUCUAUAUAAUAACCUUAUGAUAUUUUUAUGUUAAACUCAAAGUUAAGGGAGACAGAAUUAUAUUAUAGUCCAAGAAAAGGAGAUGACUGACUAGUACUGGAACUGACAGUUCUGCAGCUGAGUGGAAGUGCUGUAUAUUCAUGCACAAAUAAUGUAUAUUGUAUGUGUAAUUUAUACAUAAGUUCUUGCAUAUCUUUCUCCUCUAUGAACACUGAGUAUUCCAAUAAAGAUUUCAGAGGGC